rnacentral:rRNA from 1 species
AGACGUCUACAUUAGAUACCCCCGUAGUCCAGGGUGUAAACGCUGCGGGCUUGGUGUUGGGGGUCCUUUGAGGGCGCCCAGUGCCGGAGAGAAGUUGUUAAGCCUGCUGCUUGGGGAGUACGUCCGCAAGGAUGAAACUUAAAGGAAUUGGCGGGGGAGCACCGCAACGGGAGGAGCGUGCGGUUCAAUUGGAUUCAACGCCGGACAACUCACCAGGAGCGACGGUUACAUGAAGGCCAGGCUGAUGACCUUGCCUGAUUUUCCG